UCUUUCUUCAUAUCGAUGAUUUUUUUUCUUUCCUAGGAAAUUAAUUCUGAUCAGGCUACGCAAGGAAACAGUACUGAACGUGGGAAAAAAAGAACAGCAACAGCAUCUGGAACUGAGAAUAUUCAUCAGAAAGCAGAAGAAAAUAAUGCAGAUGAAACAGGACCAUCGCUUGCAGCAAAAACCAGGAGAGGGCGUCCACCCAAACCUGAACCUCAGGGUACCACUGCAAAAAAUGAGGAAACAAAUAAGCCACCUGUCAGGGGAAGGAAAAGGGCAGCAGCCAGUCAAGAAAGUCCAGGGAGUUUAGAGGCAGGUAACGCCAAAGCACCAAAACAGCAGGACACAGCAAAAAAGCCAGCAGCAGCACAGAGGCAAAUUGAUCUACAAAGGUAAAAAGAAAACACACUCGAAAAGGGAGGAAAUGAAGGCCAAAUAAAGGCAUGCUCCAAGCUUCUGCAAAAACUAGGAUUCAGAAAUUUCCUGUACAGGAACUGAAAUUACUUCAAAACACACACAGCUUUCAGCUCUGAAAACAGAAGGAAAACUAUGCUUCCCUUUCACGUGAAAUUAAUCCUUCUCAAUGGAAAUGUAAAGCAGAAACUCUUGAGAAAGAGGCUAAAAGCAUCUGUACUUAUUUCCCCAGAGACUUUUUUUAUGAAAAGUCAAUAAUUAAGCAAAUUGCUUAACACUUGGUUCCAGUUCCUGCAUUCUGGAGUUUAAAAGUGUAUUUACACCAUUAAUUUUCAUGCUGCAUUUUCUUUUUCUUUUUCUUUUUUGUUUUUAAAGGAAGUCAGAGGGAGGUCCUUACACUGACACUGACAAUUCGCGAUCCUACAGCCAGGUAUUCCCGUGUUCCACAGAAAAAGUAGAAGUCUACUGAGAGGGUUUUGAGUAAGAAUAGAGGAGGAAAAAUAACCACAAAAAAACCAACACAUGUUUUAUUUUUUGCUUUCCUUUUGGAGACUGUUUUAUGUAUAAUUCUUUCUGCCUGCCUACUUUUCUGCACAAGUAAGAUGUACAGAUUCCAGUUCCCUGCUAUGAAAAGUCAUGUGGUGGCAAUUUUAUAAAUGUUGCUUUCUGAUUUUUAUCAGAGUGGGAAAGUAAUCACUUAAAAUUAUUAAUUCGCAAGUAGACAUUUCAUUAUUUUUUUUUAAUUUUUUUCCCUCCAUUUUAGUUUAAUAUAAUUUGCAAUAAAUGUACAUAUUGAUGUUUGUUUUAUAAAAACAUAUAUCACUUUUAAGUGUUUUUACUCCUGCGGUUCUGUUGGAAUAUUCUGAAUUCUAAAGGAGUAAAGACGGUCCAGCAUUUGAUUUUAUAAUGUUUGUCACCAGAUUUUUAUUAUUGAUGUAAAGAAAAAAAAAAUCAAUUUUUAAACCUAGUUGGACUUUGGCAGCUUUGUAAGGAAAGUUGGAAAUGUUUAGGAUUGCUCUCAAUUUUAAGCAUCGUGCUGAUUGGAAGUAAGUCUGUUUUGCAUUUUGUCUUCCUGUUCAGGCUCAUUUUUAAUGUUUAUUUUAGAAGAUUGUUGCAUCAAUAUUACGUUUCCUGGCAUUGUUCAGCAUAGAUAAAAGUGUACACUUUUAUGUACACAUGAUCAUAUUUAAGUUUGUUGCAUAAAAUAAACGCUUCUAGGUGUCA